rnacentral:rRNA from 1 species
GACAGAGGGGGCAAGCGUUGCUCGGAAUUACUGGGCGUAAAGGGCGCGUGGGCGGGAUGGCAAGUCGGUCGUGAAAUCCCUCGGCUCAACUGAGGAACGUCGAUCGAUACUGCCGUUCUUGAGGGAUGCAGAGGAGACUGGAAUUCCCGGUGUAGCGGUGAAAUGUGUAGAGAUCGGGAGGAACACCGGUGGCGAAGGCGGGUCUCUGGGCAUCUCCUGACGCUGAGGCGCGAAAGCGUGGGGAGCAAACGGG